rnacentral:lncRNA from 1 species
UUUGAGUUUAGAGAUUUCUAGAUAUACCAGAAAUCUGUUUAUAAUAGUCAAUCUGUUGAGUAUAGGGAAGCACUGGGGCUUUCUUCUGGAGGAGCUGCAGGAGAUGAAGAGGGAGUGAGGGUUGGCAUCGAGAUGCCGCGAGAGCUGAUCUCGUAUAGCUUUUUGGUGAGCGCGCUAGUCAGGAGAGAGUGAAGUGAUUUUUCUGCUGUUGAAGGAUGCGGAGCUAAAGGUUUUAUGUUUGAAUGACAAGACUCUUCCGGCCGGCACAAUGGUUUUGACUGCGUUGACCCAGUUUAGCUGCAAGGUAAAUGUUGAAGACACCGUUGAAUGUUACCAAAAUCGAGAAGAGCACUUACCAUCAAGAGAUUGCGGCAUUAGCCAGAUCUUCAUUACAUGGCAUUUCCCAGGCGAUGAAGGACCAUGUGACACGGCCCACAGGCAUGGCCCAGGGCAGGGUGGCCCACCUGAUAGAGUGGAAGGCUGGUGUAAGCCACUGACACCCCCGCAGCUCUGGAGUCUGACUUCAAACACUAUCUGA